AUGUCAUUUAUGUCAUAAAUAAUGAAUAGUAGCUACAACUUCCUUCGUCCUUAUUAUGUUCUAAACUCUAUGUUAAGGCAAGUAAUUUACAAAAUCUCUGUUGCGGGGAGAGGUACUUUUAUCACUUCCAUCUCACAGAUGAGAAAUCUGAGACUUAGAAAGACUAAGGGAUUGGCCUGACAUCACAAUGCCAGGUGAAUGGCAUCUGACUCCACAGUCCAGGCUGUUAACCCACCACGUGAUCCUACCUCCUUGGCAGUGAAGGAUAAUCAGAGUAUUUACGAAUCAGAGUUUUACUUAUGCUCCCAUCACAGAGAAAAAUCAUCAGUUAAUAUAAGGAAGAGUUCAUGCCUUGAUUAAAGUUGGCAGAUGUGAGGGUUGUUUUGUAGUCACAUAUAAUGGAAUCAGCACUGGCUAACAGGCUGGAAACCAACCUGUCAUCUCAGUCUCUCCAAUCACCAGCUGUGGGACCCUGGACAAGUCAUUUAACCUCAAUGGACCUCAAUUUUCUCAUCUGGAAAAAUAAGACAAGUGGCAUAGACUAUCCCUUCCAGAAAUUCUGUGAAUCAAGGAGAAUCUACAGCUGUUGCCAUUCACUAAGUUCAAAUUCCUGUGACCCCCGGGAGAGAAGGCUGCGGGCAGAUUAUUAGAGCAUUUGAGUGUGUGGGUUUGCCUGGAAGCGACAGCUAGCAAAGGUUGAAGAUGAGAAUAAUAAUAAUAAAGCACGCUUGGCUUGUAGAGCUCUGAGCAGAACAGCAUUACUCUCAACCAGAUUUUAUUUCUUGCUAAUUUUAUCUGAUUCCACUUGAUUAUAGAGUUCAUUGAAUUUAAAAUGUUGGGGCUGGGGGUCACUGCUCCAUGCUACCCUUCAGAAACGUCAACAAAAAGAGCACCCCAGAAACCCUUGACUGCCACCCGUGCAAAUACAUUACCCUUCAUCGUGACAGAUUUGCUCCAGUAAUUACAAUCACCUUUUCUUCAGUCUAUGUCUGGGAGCAUUUCUAGAACACUUAAUGCCAUACUACCCAAGGAAAAGCCCUUUCUGGUGUAAUGGAGGCAAUGUAAAAUAUGUGCUUUCAUGUCAAGUAAAAAUUUAUGACAUUCACACAAAGAGGGGUAUUUGUUUCCUAUGUGUCUGCAUCUCUGCUUUCUGUUGUUAUUGAUGAACGGGAAAAG
rnacentral:lncRNA from 1 species